GAUGAACGCUGGCGGCGUGCCUAAUACAUGCAAGUCGAGCGAACAGAUGAGGAGCUUGCUCCUCUGACGUUAGCGGCGGACGGGUGAGUAACACGUGGAUAACCUACCUAUAAGACUGGGAUAACUUCGGGAAACCGGAGCUAAUACCGGAUAAUAUAUUGAACCGCAUGGUUCAAUAGUGAAAGACGGUUUUGCUGUCACUUAUAGAUGGAUCCGCGCCGCAUUAGCUAGUUGGUAAGGUAACGGCUUACCAAGGCAACGAUGCGUAGCCGACCUGAGAGAGUGAUCGGCCACACUGGAACUGAGACACGGUCCAGACUCCUACGGGAGGCAGCAGUAGGGAAUCUUCCGCAAUGGGCGAAAGCCUGACGGAGCAACGCCGCGUGAGUGAUGGAGGUCUUCGGAUCGUAAAACUCUGUUAUUAGGGAAGAACAAAUGUGUAAGUAACUAUGCACGUCUUGACGGUACCUAAUCAGAAAGCCACGGCUAACUACGUG
rnacentral:rRNA from 1 species